rnacentral:lncRNA from 1 species
GGCGUAAGGUUCCUAAUUCUCUGUCUACCGCUAGCCAUAGCAAUAUCGUCAAUCUGAAAAAACAAACAUAAAAAAUACAUGGCUAUAAACAAUUCAAAUUUAUUAUAUAAAAAUAAUCUAAAUCUAUUCUAAUUUGAUCAUAAUCUAACUCCAUCCUAAUAUAAUUCCAUCCUAAACUAAUUCCAAAACUAAACUAAUUCCAAACCUAAACUAACUAACCACCAAAAUCUUAAAAAAAAAAAAAAACCUAGAGAGAGAUGGGAGGUCGUUGUUAGAGAGAGGGUAAUGAGCAACUAAAUGGCUUCGCGAGGUCUGCCUAUAUAUAGAGUUUUGCUGUUAGUCGUAAAUUCGUUGUAAAUG